rnacentral:rRNA from 1 species
GAUGAACGCUGGCGGCAUGCCUAACACAUGCAAGUCGGGCGGGUAGUGGUGGUUCCCGUGGCGGACGGGCGAGUAACGCGUAAGAACCUGCUCUGAGGAUGGGAACAACAACUGGAAACGGUUGCUAAUACCCCGUAGGCAGAGGAGCAAAAGGAGGAGUCCGCGCGAGGAUGGUCUGGCGUCUGAGUAGCCAGUUGGUGAGGUAAUAGCUUACCAAGGCGAUGAACCAUAGCUGGUCCGAGAGGAAGAUCAGCCACACUGGUACUGGGACACGGACCAGAGACUAACGGGAGGUAGGCGUAGGGAUGUUCCCGCAAUGCGGCGAAGCUUAACAGGGCCUUCGCGUGUUGAAGUAGAUUGAGUACGGGUCGUGAACUUCUUUUCUCGAAGUAGAAACAAUGACGGUACCUGAAGAAUAAGCACCGGCUAACUCUGUG